rnacentral:misc_RNA from 1 species
ACAUUUAUUUAUAUUAUCGUAAAUACCAUACAUGUCGAUUUAAUAAGCUGAAGAAUAUGAAACGUGACGUGAUAUUAAGCUUAUUUGCAACAUGUGCUAUUGUGGGCGGUAUUUACGUAGACAAAGGGAAUCCGUACAAACAAGGUCUCCUGAAAGUCGGUCAAAUUACACUGUCGGAAACCAUAGUUGGGAGUCCGCUACAUACAAUAGCGUUUUUCCCAUUGGAAAAUGGUGACUAUCCAGUUGUGAUUUUCCUGGGCGGUCUAAACACGUACGUCCUAUCCGAGCUGUACACGGUUGUCCUAUCCUCCAUUGCUUCACAUGGUUUCUUCGUGUUUGGAGUGGACUACCAGUUUCCCGUUUACGACGAGAGGAUGCAAUUCACCAAACCCCAAAAAUAUGGAAAGCAGGACAUCGACAAAUUUUUCAAACAACUGACUUGGUUGGAAAACUAUUUCAGAAACAGAACCGAAUCAACACCUGUCUUCAACUCAACAGGGCUGCUUUGUCACUCGUCUGGAUGUGACGUCAGCGUAAAGAUGAUUAAAGAAAAGAGAAAUAUAUUCAAAGUACUCAAUUUGAUUUAAUUCUUUUUCUGAUGCUUUGAUGGAAAAAAAAUCAUCGCGUCAAUGAAAUUUUAACGUAUAUCUGUGCUUAUUUGGCAACGUUUGAACAAAGCUUUAAAUUUUUUAAUCGUCGAAUGCAUUCAGUUUUUUCUUUUAUGCAAUUAUGCAAUCUCUGAAACUACAGUAUUUAAAAAUCCAAUGAUGUGGCUGUUUUGCAAAAUUUUAAAAUAAUUGAAACUGAUUAUUAUGCGUUAAAUUUCCAGUCUACUGCAUUUUUGGAACCUUUCACGGCUGACGUUGAUUCUCCCAUCAAAAACGGCAUGCCUGCCUUAAUGUACGGAACACAGCUCUCCGAGGAGGGAUUGAAAUGCGCCAUUCCUGGUUUUGACUACAACAAGUUGUACGAUAUUUGGUCCUGUCCUCGAAUUGUCAUGAAUGUAGCGGAUUUUGGACACUGUGACAUACUGGAUCCAGCGGGGUGGGAAAUGUGUCAUGUAACCCACUUCUGCAAGACAACAAACGACACCCAUUUAACAGAGUACCGUCAGUUUGUACAGGGUGUGACCUCAGCUUUCUUCAUCUCUACCCUACAGGGUUUAACAAAAGACAUCUCCUAUGUGACAACCUCAAAUCUGAUUCCUCUUAAACUUCUUGAGUUAAAAUCUGAUAUCAAUUGUUAAUCAUUGACGGUUGGGAUUUCUGAGUGAUCAAAAAGAACUGUUAUAUAGAAUUAAAUAAAGAUUAUGCAAAGAGGUAAUUUUAUUUCUUUGUGUUAAAUUGAUGUUCAUAAAAAUAUUUGAAAAUUUACACAUAAAAGAAGUUGU